UGGCUGUCUGUGAAUUCUGUGGUGUUGGCUUUCAUUCGCAAGUUUUUUAAUAAUUCAUUUCAGUUUCUAGCAAGUACACCGGUAAACCGUAAAUACACGGUAAAAGGCUUAAAGAAUUUUCAGCCGUUUGUUGAAGACGAAAUAGUUGCUUUAAGCGAAAGAUAUAUAGCAUAAUGGAUGACUCAGAAAUUAUUGAAAUCAGAGAUGACAAAAAUAGUGUAGAUGUGGAUUAUCAAGAGGAAAACUUACCAGAACAACCACAAAGGUCAUUUGGUCCACCUAAAAAGUUCCGUAAUAAUUACAGGAAUGAUCGUUAUAAUAAUGCUUAUGGAGAUUAUAGCGGGGGCUAUGGUCCACCAGGUGGUGGAUACGGCCGUAAUUUUAGGCCUCCACGUAAUUACGGACCGCGUGGUUAUUAUCCAAUACCGGAUGGUCCACCUCCAACGUUCUAUCAAGGGCCACAAGGACCUCCAGGGCCUCAGGGACAUCCAGGAAAUUUCAUGUGGGGAAGAGGAUUUGGUCCUGGAGGACCACCAAUUCGGAGACUACCGAUGGAUGACAAAACAAUAAGAUAUCUUUUACGCUGCGGUGUUGCAAAAGAAUACGUGAGGAAUUUGCCACGUGAUUUACUGCAGCUGAUGGAACCGGAGUUCUGUGGGCUUUGCGCUCAAAGCUUCGAAUCAUUUGCUAUGUCUCGCAUUCAUUACAUUUCCAAAAAUCAUUUGAAGAAUCAGAAAAAAUGGUUAACACAACAAUCUGAGAUAGGAUUCCGUCGCACCAAAGAGAUACCACUGAAAGCACGUGAGCUGUACUGUGAAUUGUGUGACGUUCAUAUUACUUCGAAAACACAUUCAGAGUCUCAUUAUGCUGGGAAACCACACAGAGCGAUCGUUGAGGGACGCAAGAAUCCCAAGAAUCCAUUUUUGCUUCAACAGGGAAUGGAAGAGCGAGUGGAUCAACUUAUCCGCCGCGAAAAGAAAAAUUUAAAACCAAUUGAAGAGGAUGAAGCGCUCGAGAAAGUUCCAAAAGUUAUCCAACCUGAUAUGUAUUGUGAAAUAUGCAAGACGUCAGUAACGUGCUCCGAACAAAUGACGAUGCACUUGAACGGAAAGAAACAUCUCUCCAAGGAAAAGCAGCACAUCUUGAAAAUGAUGAAGGGCGGAAAUGGAACACAAUUACAGGAGAAACCAACUGAAGACAGUACUAUGGAAGAAAACGAAAAUGCUGAAGAAGAAGGUGAAGAAAGUUAUGAUUGGGGUCAAGGAGAAGAGAAGUGGGAAGAAACUACUCAAAAUGAAUGGUAUUGAGAACACUGAAAAUUUUAUAAAAAAGAAACCAAGUAAAGUAAUCUAUUUCCAUAGAAACCUUAACCACCAUGAUUGGGUCUUCUCACUGAUCGUCGUCGAGCUUCAUUUAAUUUUGUCGUUACACCAUCAAUGUCCAGCAUCAGUUCUUGAAAUACAAAUUGUAUUCAAAUUUACUGUCUAUUAAAAUAUAUUAUUAA